GAUGAACGCUGGCGGCGUGCCUAAUACAUGCAAGUCGAGCGAACGGACGAGAAGCUUGCUUUUCUGAUGUUAGCGGCGGACGGGUGAGUAACACGUGGAUAACCUACCUAUAAGACUGGGAUAACUCCGGGAAACCGGAGCUAUUACCGGAUAAUAUUUUGAACCGCAGGGUUCAAAAGUGAAAGACGGUCUUGCUGUCACUUAUAGAUGGAUCCGCGCUGCAUGAGCUAGUUGGUAAGGUAACGGCUUACCAAGGCAACGUUGGAUAGCCGGCCGGGGAGGGGACCAGGCAAACUUGGACUGGGGCACCGCCCCAGCUCCUUCGGGAGGGAAGCAGUAGGAAUUUUGCCGAAAUGGGCGAAGCCCGAUCGAGGAAUGGCGGCGUGAGUGAUAAAGGCCUCCGGUUCGUAAAUCUCUGUUUUUAGAACAAAAAAUAUGUGUAAAUAACCGUGCGAAUAUUGCCGGUACGUAAGCAGAAAGCCCCGGCUACCUCCGU
rnacentral:rRNA from 1 species